ensembl:misc_RNA 7SK 7SK RNA
NNAUGUAAGGACAAUCUGGCUGUGACAUCUGUCACCAUAUUGGUCACCAGGGUUGAUUUGGCUGAUCUGGCAGGUGAGGCAGGUAUCACCUUCUUCCCUCACUGCUACAUGUGCAUUCCUCCCAAAGAUGCACACUUGAUGGACGAGGAUGACCACUCUGAUAGAGGGGGACUGUUUCCUUGAUCAAAGGGAUAGGAGUCGCUGCGCUCCCCUGCUGGAACCUCCAAAUAAGCUCUCUAGUUUUAUGAUAGUAACUCCCUCUCUAUACUAAUUUGUAAAUGUUGUAUAAAGAAUUU